CCUACGGGAGGCAGCAGUAGGGAAUUUUCCGCAAUGGGCGAAAGCCUGACGGAGCAAUACCGCGUGAGGGAUGACUGCCUAUGGGUUGUAAACCUCUUUUUUCAGGGAGGAAUAAAUGACGUGUACCUGAAGAAUAAGCAUCGGCUAACUCCGUGCCAGCAGCCGCGGUAAGACGGAGGAUGCAAGUGUUAUCCGGAAUCACUGGGCGUAAAGCGUCUGUAGGUGGCUCGACAAGUCAACUGUUAAAUCUUGAAGCUCAACUUCAAAAUCGCAGUCGAAACUAUCGGACUAGAGUAUAGUAGAGGUAAAGGGAAUUUCCAGUGGAGCGGUGAAAUGCGUAGAGAUUGGAAAGAACACCGAUGGCGAAGGCACUUUACUGGGCUAUUACUGACACUCAGAGACGAAAGCUAGGGUAGCAAAUGGGAUUAGAUACCCCAGUAGUCCUAGCCGUAAACAAUGGAUACUAGGUGUUGAACAGAUCGACCUGUGCAGUACCAAAGCUAACGCGUUAAGUAUCCCGCCUGGGAAGUAUGCACGCAAGUGUGAAACUUAAGGAAUUGACGG
rnacentral:rRNA from 1 species